UAGCCACAGCAGCAUGAUAAUGGAAAGGAGUUUCCAUGGGAUUCAUGAUUGAACUCAAGCUAAUUAAUUUUAGCAUACGAAGGAUGUUUAGGAUUUGACGAGUUUCUAUGACCUGCAUCCUAUCAAAACUCUCGAUAGAGGAACUUAAUCAUAUGGUAACUAUAUCUAGGAGUUCAUCUUUCUAUUCUACUGGAUUGUCAUUAUAUACUGCUAGGUAUCGCUGGU
rnacentral:lncRNA from 1 species